GCCACGGUCGCAUAAUCUGGUAUUGCGCCAGCCUUGAGAGCUGGUUCCUCACGGAAUUCCCGGUUCAAAUCCGGGCCGUGGCG
rnacentral:tRNA from 1 species